UCCCUGGUGGUCUAGUGGUUAGGACUCAGUGCCUUCACUGCUGCAGUCCAGGUUCAAUCCCUGGCCUGGGAC
rnacentral:tRNA from 1 species